CGCGUAGGCGGUCAGGUGUGUCGGAUGUGAAAGCUCUGGGCUUAACCCAGAAAGUGCGUUCGAAACUGCUUGGCUAGAGUACGGAAGGGGGAUGCGGAAUGCAGGGUGUAGCGGUGAAAUGCGUUGAUAUCCUGCAGAACACCGGUGGCGAAGGCGGCAUCCUGGGACGUUACUGACGCUGAGGCGCGAAAGCAGGGGGAGCAAACA
rnacentral:rRNA from 1 species